GUGCCAGCAGCCGCGGUAAUACGAAGGGGGCUAGCGUUGCUCGGAAUCACUGGGCGUAAAGCGCACGUAGGCGGAUCUUUAAGUCAGGGGUGAAAUCCCGGAGCUCAACUCCGGAACUGCCUUUGAUACUGGGGAUCUUGAGUUCGAGAGAGGUGAGUGGAACUGCGAGUGUAGAGGUGAAAUUCGUAGAUAUUCGCAAGAACACCAGUGGCGAAGGCGGCUCACUGGCUCGAUACUGACGCUGAGGUGCGAAAGCGUGGGGAGCAAACAGGAUUAGAAACCCGGGUAGUCC
rnacentral:rRNA from 1 species